AAACCCCACUGGGAGCAAGACCGAAUAGGAACAGUAGAGGUUGCGCCCCUCUUUCCGCAAACCUCAAGGACCUCCCGUCCUUCUGUUCGGGUUGGUCGCGUGAGACCUAUUGCGAAAUAGGUCCUAGAGGACUGAUCGUCCUAACCCCUCAAAAGGUUAGACAGAACCCGGCUUAUAGACCAUCUCGCCUU
rnacentral:RNase_P_RNA from 1 species